GGAGUAUUUUAAUGAUGUCACAAUGUAGAAUGUUUUAACAUUGUAGAAGGAGUAUUUUAAUGAUGUCACAAUGUAGAAUGUUUUAACAUUGUAGAAGGAGUAUUUUAAUGAUGUCACAAUGUAGAACACUAAACGUUUGCCCCCUGUUCAAUUGAUUUCUGCAUGAUAUGGAUAUUAAGCCUCAGGGGGAAAAUCCAGGCUCUGAAUUGAAAGAGUGAUAUUUAUAUGAUAUAACAGAAAAUGACUAACACAAAAAGAGCUGUGUUACACUUACAGCAUUGGUGACCCACUUGAAUCAAAAUGUAGCUAGAUGUUUUCUACAAGUUGUCCUCUAACCAGUGAUGUACACAUUAUUCACAGAUUCCGUGUGGUUUUUGAG